AAAGAAAGUAAGCAAGGGCGCAUGGCGGAUGCCUUGGCUCUCGGAGGCGAUGAAGGACGUGAUAAGCUGCGAUAAGCUUCGGGUAGGUGCAAAUAACCUUUGAUCCGAAGAUUUCCGAAUGGGACAACCCGUCAUUCUGAAGGAAUGACAUCUUGCAUAGCAAGAGGCUAACGCAGGGAACUGAAACAUCUUAGUACCUGCAGGAAAAGAAAAUAAUAAUGAUUCCCCUAGUAGUGGCGAGCGAACGGGGAUUAGCCCAAACCAAUGUUGUUACGGCAAUAUUGGGGUUGUAGGACCACGAUGUCGCAAGAAAUUUAGUGAGAAGAAUUCUUUGGAAAAUGAAACCAUAGACGGUGAUAGUCCGGUAUUCGAAGCUAAACGAAGCGUAGUGGUAUCCUGAGUAGCGCGGGACACGAGGAAUCUUGCGUGAAUCUGCCGGGACCAUCCGGUAAGGCUAAAUACUCCCGAGAGACCGAUAGCGAACCAGUACUGUGAAGGAAAGGUGAAAAGCACUUCGAAUAGAAGAGUGAAAUAGUCCCUGAAACCGUGCGCCUACAAGCGGUCGGAGCAGCGUAAGUUGUGACGGCGUGCCUUUUGCAUAAUGAACCUACGAGUUACUUUUUCCGGCAAGGUUAAGCAUUUCAAAAUGUGUAGCCGAAGCGAAAGCGAGUCUGAACAGGGCGAUUAGUCGGAAGGAGUAGACGCGAAACCAAGUGAUCUACCCUUGGUCAGGUUGAAGGUUAGGUAACACUAACUGGAGGACCGAACCGAUAAGCGUUGAAAAGCUUCCGGAUGAACUGAGGGUGGGGGUGAAAGGCUAAUCAAACUUGGAGAUAGCUCGUACUCCCCGAAAUGCAUUUAGGUGCAGCCUUGGGAAUUACUACUGUGAGGUAGAGCGACUGAUAAGAUGCGAGGGCUUCACCGCCUAUCAAGUCUUGAUAAACUCCGAAUGCGCAGUAGUUCGAUCCCAGGAGUGAGGGCAUGGGUGCUAAGGUCCAUGUCCUAAAGGAGAAGAAUCCGGACCAUCAGCUAAGGUCCCGAAAUAAUUGCUAAGUUGAACUAACGAAGUCAGAUUGCUAAGACAGCUAGGAUGUUGGCUUGGAAGCAGCCAUUCAUUUAAAG
rnacentral:rRNA from 1 species